CUGAAGCUCUCAGAGUUGAAGCUCACGUCCUCAGGCCACAUCAAGGUGCAGCCAUCCACUAACCCCAGCAUCACCCUGCUUUGUUUCCGCACUGAGUACCUGCUGCUCCGUCACCCUCUCAACUGUGCCAAUUGCAAUUCUUCAGCAUCCAUGGUGAUUUCAACAUCCAUGGGAGAUGUGAACGUAAGCUCCACAAGGACAGGGAUGUUUUACUGCUAGAUGCCCAGCAACCAGACUAUGUCUGGCACAUGUAAGUAUUCAAUAAAUAAUUGCUGAAAGAAUGAAUGGCUGACAGCAGUGCCAGUCUCCCAGCAUUGGGUACUCAGCUGGGCCCUUAGGAGACCAAUGAACACCAGCAAUGAACUUGUUUAAGGCAAACUCCAAAAGGAAAGGGGCCAAACUGUGCAGCCCACUUUAAUCAGGUUCUCCAUAACAGUUGCCAAGUAAUGAACACUUACUCUAUGUGCAUCCCUGAGACUAACACCGUGCUGUGUUGUCUCACUGAUUGUCGUACCAGCAAAUGUGGGUAGUAGUGGAUGCCUAUUUUUCAGAGGAGGUCCCUGGGAGUUCAAGCUGCAAAGGACCUGCCCCAUCUCUGCUGAGACCAGAACUCAUGUUCUAAAGCAGAUGGGAGUGUCCUUCCACUGAAGCCAGAAACCGCUUCCCCUCCGCCCCUGGACACAAGAGCGGUUGUGCCAACACUCUUAGUUCUUGCCGUAACUCCAAGAAGGUGGGCCAGUCAGAUGCUCCAGCUCAAAUGAAAUAAUAAUUUUAUUCCACUGUUUCUGACCUUGUGUAAGAACCUGCCUCCUGUCCACCCCUCCAGAGUGCCUGCCCCUCCCCCAGCACACAGUGUUGGCGGCCUUCACUCCUCCCAGGAUGCCUAAGCUCCUCAGUAAACGUUUGAGUGACAGAUCAAACACCCCGCAGGAGUGCUUUAUUUCAUUUUUAAAUAGCUUUGAUUUUUCAAUCAAUUCCCUAAAUGUCACCAGAACACAAAGAAAUCAUGGGAUUCCAGGAAGUUCCAAUGGUUUAUUGAACAAUGUGCUCCUGCGACUGGUGGCUUCUUAGAUUCUCUGUGAAGCAGGCCUGGGAGGUGGUGAGUGUAUCUUCUCCCUCUCUCUCUCCCAGAGGUCUCAGCCUUGCUGGCCUUCCGCUCCCCCGUCCAGGAAGGCCACCCCACAGCCUUUAGGCCCAAAGAGGAGCAGAGCGUCAAGGCACUCACAUCGCUUUCUGUGCGUACAUUAAACUGAGCCCAGAAACACAGAGCUCUUAAAUUGCAAAGGGCAAUAAGUUUGAAGAACAAAAACAUUUCCUUGGACCUUUUAUAUUUUUCUAAAUUGAUCUUGAUUUUUCACUUCAUUGUGGUGUUGGGGGAUUUUCUUUCUUUCUUCAUAAUGGUUUUAUUUCCCAUAAUCUUAAGAAUGAAAGGCAUCUCUAGUGCUUGUGUAUUUAUUUCUGAUUCCUAUAAACUUCUCUCGCUCCUGACUUAACUCACCUUGAGCCACAAGCCCAGAACACCAACGAUCAACUAAAACAGGGGAAGCAGCAGCAGUGGCUGGCGUGCACCCAAACCAGGAAACAGGCUAUAGAAGAGCAUCUUCUUUCAGGCUUCAGGCUGUUUGUAUUCCUUCAGGAAGCUUCAAUCAAUCAAUCACUCCCUCUUUUCCUAAGAGAAAGGGACUCCAGCCUUUUCUUAUUAACUCAUUCCUCAUUACGACGAUGGCGUUUCUCUUCACCAACAAAAUUGCUCAAGCUGCAUCUCCAGCCUGUUUCCUUGACAUUGUUUUCUGUCUCCCAGGUGAGCCUUUCUUCGGUAGAUUUGGAUUGUUUUCCCUUUGUUUUUUCUAUUUUUCAUCAUUAUAAUCCUUUCUUCACACUAGUUUUUGGGUAACCCCUCCAUUUUCCCUCUCUUUUCUAAUUCUCUUCACUUCAUAGUCAGAGCACCAAAUGUGAAUAAAUAUGUUAAUGUCAUUAAAUAGUUUUAACAUACUAAAUACUUAUUUAAUACAUUAAAAAUAUGUGUGUAUUAAAUAAAUAGUUUACAUUAAUAAUCUUUAAGUCACAUGUGUUGUAAUUAACAGCUCAUGUCUACUGAGCAUUUACCAUAUGCCAGUUUGGUGCCAAACACCUACAAUGCAUUUUUCUGCUGAGUACUCCAAGCUACCGUGUAAGCUUGUUGGGGAGGAUGUGAGGGGGAAGUAAGGCACUUGGCACAAAAUUUAAGGAGAUAUUCAUUUUCAGAGUCACACAAGUGCAGCAUCAGCACCUGAGAGUAUCAGACCCUGGUCCCAGCCCUGGUCCUUACUAUUAUCUCCAUCUCCAUUUUAACAUAUAAGGAAAUUAGGCUGACAGAAGUUGGCUCUCUAGCGCAAGGUAACGGAGCUAGAGGAUAAACAAGAUGAAGAUAGGACUAGUUGACUUCAGAGCCCAAGCUGUAAGAAUUAUAAUAGCUACACACCCAGAAUAUCCAAAUAGUUUUUUUUUUUAAAGGUGCCUUUCUUAAAUAUGAAGAGAAUGAAGGACAGCCAAGCAUCUUCAGACGUAUGUUAGGCUCAAGGAACACCUCUAACACAAAUGCCAGGGAUCCAACUAACCAAACAGAAAAAGAAACCCGGAAAACCCUAAAGCUGAAAUAAUGCAGGAAGCGGAAGAAAGCUCCAAAUAAACUAAAAUCAAUAUCCUUAAGGAACUGGAAGAUAUUUCAUACAUGAAACAAGAACAGGAUAAAAACAGGAGCAUUUAUAGAAUAAGAAAAUGCUUGUAUAAAUUAAGGAGUUCAUAAAAGGAAUGAAUGCUUCAGUAGAAGAGUUGAAUAGCAGUGUUGAAAAAAUAGCAUAAAAAGAUAAAUGAGCAAUAGGAAAGAAAAGAUAAAACAAAAACAAAAAAACCCCAAAAACCAUAACAGAGAAUCAACUAAAGAAGUCCAGCCUCAAACUAAUAGGAGUUUCAGAAAGAAAGGAGAGCAAAAAUGGAGAGUAGAAAACUACUAAAGAAAUAUCAUAAAAUUUGCAUGAAGUGCCUGGAACAUUGGAUAAAACAUAGAUAAAUCAAUGUACAUUUUUAAAACACCAGGGAUAAAGAGGUGAUUGUAAAACUUCCAGAAGAAAACAUGUAGGAUCAGGAAUCAAAAUGGCAUUCAGAUGUCUCAGCAACACCAUUGGAAACUAGAAGACAACAGAGCAAUGCUUUCAGGAUUCAGAAGGAAAAUGACUUUUGCAUCAUCAAUUAAAUGUGACGAUGAAUUCAAGAGUUUUUC
rnacentral:lncRNA from 10 species